GCAAGUCGAGCGGAGUGCAGUGUCUAAGAGACUUCGGUCAAAUUAAUCUGUACUUAGCGGCGGAUGGGUGAGGAACGCGUGGAGAACCUGCCCUCACAGGGGGAUAACAGUUGGAAACGGCUGUUAAUACCGCAUAUGCUCACGGCACCGCAUGGUGCAGGGAGGAAAGCCGAGACGGUGAAGGAUGGCUCCGCGUCGGAUUAGCCAGUUGGCGGGGUAACGGCCCACCAAAGCGAUGAUCCGUAGCCGGCCUGAGAGGGCGACCGGCCACAUUGGGACUGAGACACGGCCCAAACUCCUACGGGAGGCAGCAGUGGGGGAUAUUGCACAAUGGGGGAAACCCUGAUGCAGCGAACCGCCGCGUGAAGGAAGAAGUGCUUCGGCAUGUAAACUUCUAUCAGCAGGGAAGAAGAUGACGGUACCUGCACAAGAAGCCCCGGCUAACUACGUGCCAGCCGCAGC
rnacentral:rRNA from 1 species